AAGAAGUAGGGGGUGGGAGGCGGGCGUAAGAGGGUGGAUGCAAGGAUGAAACGGAAUGAUUGGGCGUAAAGGGGGCGGUGGAGGGGAGACAAGUCAGAUGUGAAAUAGCAAAGCUCAACUUGGGUGCUGCAGGUGAAACUGUCUGUCUAGAGUGUUGACGGGGAAAACGGAAUUCCACGUGUAGCGGUGAAAUGCGUAGAUAUGUGGAAGAACACCAGUGGCGAAAGCGGUUUUCCAGUUUAUACCUGACGCUGAGGCGCGAGAGCAAGGGGAGCAAACAGGAUUAGAUACCCCAGUAGUC
rnacentral:rRNA from 1 species